rnacentral:rRNA from 1 species
UACGAAGGGUGCAAGCGUUACUCGGAAUUACUGGGCGUAAAGCGUGCGUAGGCGGUUUGUUAAGUCCGCUGUGAAAGCCCUGGGCUCAACCUGGGAAUUGCAGUGGAUACUGGCAAGCUAGAGUGCGGUAGAGGAUGGUGGAAUUCCCGGUGUAGUGGUGAAAUGCGUAGAUAUCGGGAGGAACACCAGUGGCGAAGGCGACUACCUGGCCUGUUCUUGACGCUGAGGCGCGAAAGCUAGGGGAGCAAACGGG